rnacentral:sRNA from 1 species
AGAUAUGAGGGCAAUCUGGCUGUGACAUCUGUCACCCCAAUGAUCGCCAGGGUUGAUUUGGCUGAUCUGGCUGGCUAGGCUAGUGUCCCCUUCCUCCCUCACUGCUCCAUGUGUGUCCCUCCUGAAGCUGCCUGCUCAGUUCGGUCGAAGAGGACGGCCAUCCCUGCUAGAGGAAGAUCACUCUUCAGUCAAGGUAUACAAACAGCUGUGUCCUCUGCUAGAACCUCCAAACAAGCUCUCAAGGCAGACCACCCACCAGACAACAACAAUAAGAACUUCCCAGGAGCCCUUUUUGG